UACGUAGGGUGCGAGCGUUAAUCGGAAUUACUGGGCGUAAAGCGCACGUAGGCGGAUUGUUAAGUGAGGGGUGAAAUCCCAGGGCUCAACCCUGGAACUGCCUCUCAUACUGGCAAUCUCGAGUUCGAGAGAGGUGAGUGGAAUUGCGAGUGUAGAGGUGAAAUUCGUAGAUAUUCGCAGGAACACCAGUGGCGAAGGCGGCUCACUGGCUCGAUACUGACGCUGAGGUGCGAAAGCGUGGGGAGCAAACAGG
rnacentral:rRNA from 1 species